rnacentral:rRNA from 1 species
AUUGAACGCUGGCGGCAGGCCUAACACAUGCAAGUCGAACGAGUGGCGGACGGGUGAGUAAUGUCUCGGAAACUGCCUGAUGGCUGGGGAUAACUACUGGAAACGGUAGCUAAUACCGCAUACCAUCAGAUGUGCCGCGUUGGGAUUAGCUGGUUGGUGGGGUAACGGCUCACCAAGGCGACGACCCCUAGCUGGUCUGAGAGGAUGACCAGCCACACUGGAACUGAGACACGGUCCAGACUCCUACGGGAGGCAGCAGUGGGGAAUAUUGCACAAUGGGCGAAAGCCUGAUGCAGCCAUGCCGCGUGUAUGAAGAAGGCCUUCGGGUUGUAAAGUACUUUAAGCGGGGAGGCGUUACCCGCAGAAGAAGCACCGGCUAACUCCGUGCCAGCAGCCGCGGUAAUAC